CUACGGGCCGCAGCAGUGGGGAAUCUUAGACAAUGGGGGAAACCCUGAUCUAGCCAUGCCGCGUGAGCGACGACGGCCCUAGGGUUGUAAAGCUCUUUCAGCAGGGAAGAUAAUGACGGUACCUGCAGAAGAAGUCCCGGCUAACUCCGUGCCAGCAGCCGCGGUAAUACGGAGGGGACUAGCGUUGUUCGGAAUUACUGGGCGUAAAGCGCGCGUAGGCGGAUUGUUAAGUCGGGGGUGAAAUCCCGGGGCUCAACCCCGGAACUGCCCUCGAUACCGGCAGUCUUGAGGUCGAGAGAGGUGAGUGGAAUUCCGAGUGUAGAGGUGAAAUUCGUAGAUAUUCGGAGGAACACCAGUGGCGAAGGCGGCUCACUGGCUCGAUACUGACGCUGAGGUGCGAAAGCGUGGGGAGCAAACAGGAUUAGAUACCCGAGUAGUC
rnacentral:rRNA from 1 species